rnacentral:rRNA from 1 species
UACGCAGGGGGCUAGCGUUGCUCGGAAUCACUGGGCGUAAAGCGCACGUAGGCGGAUUGCUAAGUCAGGGGUGAAAUCCUGGAGCUCAACUCCAGAACUGCCUUCGAUACCGAGAGUCUCGAGUCCGAGAGAGGUGAGUGGAACUGCGAGUGUAGAGGUGAAAUUCGUAGAUAUUCGCAAGAACACCAGUGGCGAAGGCGGCUCACUGGCUCGGUACUGACGCUGAGGUGCGAAAGCGUGGGGAGCAAACAGG